rnacentral:ncRNA from 2 species
UCACAAAGGGCCGGGCAAGGCCCCGUGUGAUUAAAUGGGAAUGCCGUGAAAAUCGGCAGCAGUUCCCGCUGCUGUAAGUUCCGAUAGUUGCCGCGACACGCUGAAAGCCACUGGUCCGAGAGGGCCGGGAAGGCGUUGCGGCAGGAACGAGCCAGAAGACCUGCCUUGCAGCUUCCCGACGA